rnacentral:rRNA from 1 species
UACGGAGGGGGCAAGCGUUGUUCGGAAUUACUGGGCGUAAAGGGCUCGUAGGUGGCCAACUAAGUCAGACGUGAAAUCCCCAGGCUCAACUUGGGAACUGCGUCUGAUACUGGAUGGCUUGAAUUCGGGAGAGGGAUGCAGAAUUCCAGGUGUAGCGGUGAAAUGCGUAGAUAUCUGGAGGAAUACCGGUGGCGAAGGCGGCAUCCUGGACCGAUAUUGACGCUGAGGCACGAAAGCCAGGGGAGCAAACGGG